GGCGGUAUGGCCGAGUGGUAAGGCGGGGGACUGCAAAUCCUUUUUUCCCCAGUUCAAAUCCGGGUGCCGCCU
rnacentral:tRNA from 1 species